CCUACGGGUGGCAGCAGUGGGGGAUAUUGCACAAUGGGGGGAACCCUGAUGCAGCGACGCCGCGUGGGUGAAGGAGUGCUUCGGCAUGUAAAGCCCUAUCGGCAGGGAAGAAGCAAGACGGUACCUGACUAAGAAGCCCCGGCCAACUACGUGCCAGCAGCCGCGGUAAUACGGAGGGGGCGAGCGUUAUCCGGAUUCACUGGGUGUAAAGGGAGCGUAGACGGCCAUGCAAGCCAAGGGGGAAAGCCCGGGGCCCAACCCCGGGACUGCCGUUGGAACUGGGCGGCUAGAGUGCGGGAGGGGCAGGCGGAAUGCCUGGUGUAGCGGUGAAAUGCGUAGAUAUCGGGAGGAACACCGGCGGCGAAGGCGGCCUGCUGGACUGCGACUGACGUUGAGGCUCGAAAGCGUGGGGAGCGAACAGGAUUAGAUACCCCGGUAGUC
rnacentral:rRNA from 1 species